rnacentral:tRNA from 1 species
GAAAGAAAUAAACGGGGGUGAAAAAAAUAUCUUGUACCUCCCCGUCGGGGAAUCGAACCCCGGUCUCCCGCGUGACAGGCGGGGAUACUUACCACUAUACUAACGAGGACCUGUACAGUCGAGUGUUU